ACUCUAAGCGGUGGAUCACUCGGCUCAUGGGUCGAUGAAGAACGCAGCAAACUGUGCGUCAUCGUGUGAACUGCAGGACACAUGAACAUCGACAUUUUGAACGCAUAUCGCAGUCCAUGCUGUUAUGUACUUUAAUUAAUUUUAUAGUGCUGCUUGGACUACAUAUGGUUGAGGGUUGUAAGACUAUGCUAAUUAAGUUGCUUAUAAAUUUUUAUAAGCAUAUGGUAUAUUAUUGGAUAAAUAUAAUAAUUUUUAUUCAUAAUAUUAAAAAAUAAAUGAAAAACAUUAUCUCACAUUUGAAUGUGAAAAACGAAGAGAAAUAUUUUCUUUUUCAAUCAAAUAAUACUGAGAAAUGUCUAGCAUAAAAAAUUGAAAUAUUUUUCAUCUAGAAUUGUCUCUUAUUAAUGAUUCGGAAAUAGAAAAAUCUUGGUUAUGUUAUUAUUCUUCGUUGGUUCGUUAAAAAUGGAUAAAUAAAAACUUUGCAUACAAGAAUUAAUAAAAAUGUUAUAACGAAUUUAAUUAAAUGUUUUAUCAUUAUAUAUAAAGAAUUUAUGGCAAGAUAAAGUUAUAUACAACCUCAACUCAUAUGGGACUACCCCUGAAUUUAAGCAUAUUAAUUAGGGGAGGAAAAGAAAUAACAAGGAUUUUCUUAGUAGCGGCGAGCGAAAAGAAAACAGUUCAGCACUAAGUCACUUUGUCUAUAUGGCAAAUGUGAGAUGCAGUGUAUGGAGCGUCAAUAUUCUAGUAUGAGAAAUUAACGAUUUAAGUCCUUCUUAAAUGAGGCCAUUUACCCAUAGAGGGUGCCAGGCCCGUAUAACGUUAAUGAUUACUAGAUGAUGUUUCCAAAGAGUCGUGUUGCUUGAUAGUGCAGCACUAAGUGGGUGGUAAACUCCAUCUAAAACUAAAUAUAACCAUGAGACCGAUAGUAAACAAGUACCGUGAGGGAAAGUUGAAAAGAACUCUGAAUAGAGAGUUAAACAGUACGUGAAACUGCUUAGAGGUUAAGCCCGAUGAACCUGAAUAUCCGUUAUGGAAAAUUCAUCAUUAAAAUUGUAAUAUUUAAAUAAUAUUAUGAGAAUAGUGUGCAUUUUUUCCAUAUAAGGACAUUGUAAUCUAUUAGCAUAUACCAAAUUUAUCAUAAAAUAUAACUUAUAGUUUAUUCCAAUUAAAUUGCUUGCAUUUUAACACAGAAUAAAUGUUAUUAAUUUGAUAAAGUGCUGAUAGAUUUAUAUGAUUACAGUGCGUUAAUUUUUCGGAAUUAUAUAAUGGCAUAAUUAUCAUUGAUUUUUGUGUUUAUUAUAUGCACUUGUAUGAUUAACAAUGCGAAAGAUUCAGGAUACCUUCGGGACCCGUCUUGAAACACGGACCAAGGAGUCUAACAUAUGUGCAAGUUAUUGGGAUAUAAACCUAAUAGCGUAAUUAACUUGACUAAUAAUGGGAUUAGUUUUUUAGCUAUUUAUAGCUAAUUAACACAAUCCCGGGGCGUUCUAUAUAGUUAUGUAUAAUGUAUAUUUAUAUUAUUUAUGCCUCUAACUGGAACGUACCUUGAGCAUAUAUGCUGUGACCCGAAAGAUGGUGAACUAUACUUGAUCAGGUUGAAGUCAGGGGAAACCCUGAUGGAAGACCGAAACAGUUCUGACGUGCAAAUCGAUUGUCAGAAUUGAGUAUAGGGGCGAAAGACCAAUCGAACCAUCUAGUAGCUGGUUCCUUCCGAAGUUUCCCUCAGGAUAGCUGGUGCAUUUUAAUAUUAUAUAAAAUAAUCUUAUCUGGUAAAGCGAAUGAUUAGAGGCCUUAGGGUCGAAACGAUCUUAACCUAUUCUCAAACUUUAAAUGGGUAAGAACCUUAACUUUCUUGAUAUGAAGUUCAAGGUUAUGAUAUAAUGUGCCCAGUGGGCCACUUUUGGUAAGCAGAACUGGCGCUGUGGGAUGAACCAAACGUAAUGUUACGGUGCCCAAAUUAACAACUCAUGCAGAUACCAUGAAAGGCGUUGGUUGCUUAAAACAGCAGGACGGUGAUCAUGGAAGUCGAAAUCCGCUAAGGAGUGUGUAACAACUCACCUGCCGAAGCAACUAGCCCUUAAAAUGGAUGGCGCUUAAGUUGUAUACCUAUACAUUACCGCUAAAGUAGAUGAUUUAUAUUACUUGUGAUAUAAAUUUUGAAACUUUAGUGAGUAGGAAGGUACAAUGGUAUGCGUAGAAGUGUUUGGCGUAAGCCUGCAUGGAGCUGCCAUUGGUACAGAUCUUGGUGGUAGUAGCAAAUAAUCGAAUGAGACCUUGGAGGACUGAAGUGGAGAAGGGUUUCGUGUGAACAGUGGUUGAUCACGAGUUAGUCGGUCCUAAGUUCAAGGCGAAAGCCGAAAAUUUUCAAGUAAAACAAAAAUGCCUAACUAUAUAAACAAAGCGAAUUAUAAUACACUUGAAUAAUUUUGAACGAAAGGGAAUACGGUUCCAAUUCCGUAACCUGUUGAGUAUCCGUUUGUUAUUAAAUAUGGGCCUCGUGCUCAUCCUGGCAACAGGAACGACCAUAAAGAAGCCGUCGAGAGAUAUCGGAAGAGUUUUCUUUUCUGUUUUAUAGCCGUACUACCAUGGAAGUCUUUCGCAGAGAGAUAUGGUAGAUGGGCUAGAAGAGCAUGACAUAUACUGUUGUGUCGAUAUUUUCUCCUCGGACCUUGAAAAUUUAUGGUGGGGACACGCAAACUUCUCAACAGGCCGUACCAAUAUCCGCAGCUGGUCUCCAAGGUGAAGAGUCUCUAGUCGAUAGAAUAAUGUAGGUAAGGGAAGUCGGCAAAUUAGAUCCGUAACUUCGGGAUAAGGAUUGGCUCUGAAGAUUGAGAUAGUCGGGCUUGAUUGGGAAACAAUAACAUGGUUUAUGUGCUCGUUCUGGGUAAAUAGAGUUUCUAGCAUUUAUGUUAGUUACUUGUUCCCCGGAUAGUUUAGUUACGUAGCCAAUUGUGGAACUUUCUUGCUAAAAUUUUUAAGAAUACUAUUUGGGUUAAACCAAUUAGUUCUUAUUAAUUAUAACGAUUAUCAAUUAACAAUCAAUUCAGAACUGGCACGGACUUGGGGAAUCCGACUGUCUAAUUAAAACAAAGCAUUGUGAUGGCCCUAGCGGGUGUUGACACAAUGUGAUUUCUGCCCAGUGCUCUGAAUGUCAAAGUGAAGAAAUUCAAGUAAGCGCGGGUCAACGGCGGGAGUAACUAUGACUCUCUUAAGGUAGCCAAAUGCCUCGUCAUCUAAUUAGUGACGCGCAUGAAUGGAUUAACGAGAUUCCUACUGUCCCUAUCUACUAUCUAGCGAAACCACAGCCAAGGGAACGGGCUUGGAAUAAUUAGCGGGGAAAGAAGACCCUUUUGAGCUUGACUCUAAUCUGGCAGUGUAAGGAGACAUAAGAGGUGUAGAAUAAGUGGGAGAUAUUAGACCUCGGUUUGGUAUCGUCAAUGAAAUACCACUACUCUUAUUGUUUCCUUACUUACUUGAUUAAAUGGAACGUGUAUCAUUUCCUAGCCAUUAUACGGAUAUAUU
rnacentral:rRNA from 1 species